GAUGAAGAACGCAGCGAAAUGCGAUAAUUAAUGUGAAUUGCAGAAUUUAGUGAAUCAUCGAAUCUUUGAACGCACAUUGCGCCCUUUGGUAUUCCUUAGGGCAUGCCUGUUCGAGCGUCAUUUAAACCUUCAAGCUAAGCUUGGUGUUGGGUGACUGUCCGCUUCACGGCGGACUCGCCUCAAAAUUAUUGGCGGCCGGUACAUUGGCUUCGAGCGCAGCAGAAACGCGAACUCGGGCCCGUCGUAUUGGCUCCCAGAAGCUAUCUUCACAAUUUUGACCUCGGAUCAGGUAGGGAUACCCGCUGAACUUAAGCAUAUCAAUAAGCGGAGGA
rnacentral:misc_RNA from 1 species